rnacentral:rRNA from 1 species
UGGGGAAUAUUGGACAAUGGAGGCAACUCUGAUCCAGCAAUUCUGUGUGUGUGAAGAAGGUUUUAGGACUGUAAAGCACUUUUAGUAGGGAAGAAAGAAAUGACGGUACCUACAGAAGAAGCGACGGCUAAAUACGUGCCAGCAGCCGCGGUAAUACGUAUGUCGCGAGCGUUAUCCGGAAUUAUUGGGCUUAAAGGGCAUCUAGGCGGUAAGACAAGUUGAAGGUGAAAACCUGUGGCUCAACCAUAGGCUUGCCUACAAAACUGUUGAACUAGAGUACUGGAAAGGUGGGUGGAACUACACGAGUAGAGGUGAAAUUCGUAGAUAUGUGUAGGAAUGCCGAUGAUGAAGAUAACUCACUGGACAGAAACUGACGCUGAAGUGCGAAAGCUAGGGGAGCAAACAGG